rnacentral:rRNA from 1 species
AUUACAACAGUUAUCGUCUGCUUGGAGCGUCCCUACCACCGGAUAUCCGUGGUAAUUCUACAGUUAAUACGUAUCGGCUUCUUCGGAAGUGUUGCAUAUUACUGUGAACAUUCGGCAGGGGCAACCUUGCCAACCAUGAACACUUUUAUGCGCGAAUCGUUGCUUGCAACGAGGGUCCAUCACGGUUUCUGACCUAUCAGGUGCCGACGGUAGGGUAUUGGCCUACCGUGCCUAUAACGGGUAACGGGGGAUUAGGGUUUGAUCCCGGAGAGGGAGCAUGAGAGACGGCUACCACAUCUAAGGAAGGCAGCAGGCGCGUAAAUUACCGAUCGGUGACUCGCCGAGGUAGUAAACAGAAAUAAUGACGCAUGAUUCUUAUCGUGCGAUCGGAAUGAAUAGCUUCUAAACAAAGCUAUGAAAUCCAUUGGAGGGCAAGUCUGGUGCCAGCAGCCGCGGUAAUUCCAGCUCCAAUAGCGUAUAUUAAAGUUGUUGCAGUUAAAAAGUUCGUAGUCGACCUUCAUCUGCUCGGGUGGUUUGGCGUCUAUGACGUUCAACCACUUUCAGCAGAGAGCGUGCUGGGCGCAUCCCAUGCGUUUCGUAUGUGGGUGUCUCAUGCAUCUUACUUUGAGUGAAUCGGCGUGUUCCACGCAGGCUGCCGCCCUGAACGAUUUACCAUAGAAUAACAAGAGUAUGGGAACGUCCCUUUGUUUGUUCGGGGGUGUUUUCUAUAUCGAUAAGCACGGUCGAGGGCAUUCCUAGUCAACUGCCAGAGGUGAAAUUCUUUGAUUAGUUGAGGAGGAACUAUUGCGAAAGCAUUUGCCAAGGACGCCGCUUUUGAUCAAGAACGAAAGUUAGGUGAUCGAAGAUGAUUAGAUACCGUCGUAGUCCUAACUAUAAACGUUGCUAUCCAAGCGUUGGAUUGGUGACUUUAUACCUUUCCAGUACCUCUUGAGAAAUCGCGAGUCUCUGAGUUCUGGGGGGAGUAUAGUCGCAAGGCCGAAACUUAAAGGAAUUGACGGAAGGGCACCACCAGGGGUGGAGCUUGCGGCUUAAUUUGACUCAACACCGAGAAGUUUACUAGGACAAGACAUGUGGAGGAUUGACAGAUUGAUCGCUCUUUCUUGAUUCUAUGGGUGGUGGUGCAUGGCCGUUCUUAGUUCGUGGAGUAAUUUGUCAGGUUAAUUCCGUUAACGAACGAGACUUUGACUUGCUAAUUGGUGAUAUCUAUUGAAUGGUGUUCGCCGUUAGAAGGACUAUGAAUUUCCAAUUCAAGGAGGCUCGAAGCAAUAACAGGUCUGUGAUGCCCUUAGAUGUUCUAGGCAGCACGCGUGCUACAAUGAUGCAUACAAUGUGUUAUGCCUUCCGAGAGGACGGUGCAAUCAUCAAUAUGUAUCAAACCAGGGAUUGUUUGUCGGAAUGUCAACCAUGAACGAGGAAUCCCUAGUAAGCGCGUGUCAUCAACUCGCGUUGACUAUGUCCCUGCCCUUUGUACACACCGCCUGUCGCAUCUAUCGAUUAGGUCACUUUGUGAAUUGGACGGAGACAGCUUCGGGGGGUGCGAAUCCCUCGUUUUUGGCGAAGUCCCGUAAACACAGUGUCCCAGAGACAGAUAAAGUCAUAACACGGUAAUC